rnacentral:rRNA from 1 species
AACCAGCUCUUCAAGUGGUCGGGAUAAUUAUUGGGCUUAAAGUGUCCGUAGCCGGUUUGGUAAGUUCCUGGUAAAAUCAGGUAGCUUAACUAUCUGUAUGCUAGGAAUACUGCUGUACUAGAGGGCGGGAGAGGUCUGAGGUACUACAGGGGUAGGGGUGAAAUCUUAUAAUCCUUGUAGGACCACCAGUGGCGAAGGCGUCAGACUGGAACGCGCCUGACGGUGAGGGACGAAAGCCAGGGGAGCGAACCGGAUUAGAUACCCGGGUAGUCCUGGCCGUAAACGAUGCAUACUAGGUGAUGGUACGGCCAUGAGCCGUAUCAGUGCCGUAGGGAAACCGUUAAGUGUGCCGCCUGGGAAGUACGGUCGCAAGGCUAAAACUUAAAGGAAUUGGCGGGGGAGCACCACAAGGGGUGAAGCCUGCGGUUU